rnacentral:rRNA from 1 species
AUUGAACGCUGGCGGCAUGCCUUACACAUGCAAGUCGAACGGCAGCACGGAGCUUGCUCUGGUGGCGAGUGGCGAACGGGUGAGUAAUAUAUCGGAACGUACCCAAGAGUGGGGGAUAACGUAGCGAAAGUUACGCUAAUACCGCAUACGAUCUAAGGAUGAAAGCAGGGGAUCGCAAGACCUUGUGCUCCUGGAGCGGCCGAUAUCUGAUCAGCUAGUUGGUGAGGUAAAGGCUCACCAAGGCAUCGAUCAGUAGCUGGUCUGAGAGGACGACCAGCCACACUGGAACUGAGACACGGUCCAGACUCCUACGGGAGGCAGCAGUGGGGAAUUUUGGACAAUGGGGGCAACCCUGAUCCAGCAAUGCCGCGUGAGUGAAGAAGACCUUCGGGUUGUAAAGCUCUUUUGUCAGGGAAGAAACGGUGAAGGCUAAUAUCCUUUGCUAAUGACGGUACCUGAAGAAUAAGCACCGGCUAACUACGUGCCAGCCGCCGCGGUAA